GAUGAACGCUGGCGGUAUGCUUAACACAUGCAAGUCGAACGGUCACUUCGGUGAUAGUGGCGGACGGGUGAGUAACGCGUGAGGAUCUGUCUUCAGGUCGGGGACAACAGUUAGAAAUGACUGCUAAUACCGGAUGUGCCGAAAGGUGAAAGAUUUAUUGCCUGAAAGAGAGCUCGCGUCAGAUUAGCUAGUAGGUGGUGUAAGAGACUACCUAGGCGACGAUCUGUAGCUGGUCUGAGAGGGCGAUCAGCCACACUGGAACUGAGACACGGUCCAGACUCCUACGGGAGGCAGCAGUGGGGAAUUUUCCGCAAUGGGCGAAAGCCUGACGGAGCAAUACCGCGUGAGGGACGAAGGCUUUUGGGUCGUAAACCUCUUUUAUUAGGGAAGAUUUCAGGACGGUACCUAAUGAAUAAGCAUCGGCUAACUCUGUGCCAGCAGCCGCGGUAAU
rnacentral:rRNA from 1 species